UACAGAGGUCUCAAGCGUUGUUCGGAAUUACUGGGCGUAAAGCGCACGUAGGCGGCUUUGCAAGUUAGAGGUGAAAGCCCGGGGCUCAACUCCGGAAUUGCCUUUAAAACUGCAUCGCUAGAAUUGUGGAGAGGUAAGUGGAAUUCCGAGUGUAGAGGUGAAAUUCGUAGAUAUUCGGAAGAACACCAGUGGCGAAGGCGACUUACUGGACACAUAUUGACGCUGAGGUGCGAAAGCGUGGGGAGCAAACAGG
rnacentral:rRNA from 1 species